rnacentral:lncRNA from 1 species
AAGAUUGGGAAUUUAAAAAACAUUUGGUUACUUUAUAAUCAUUAUACUUUUAAUGAGAAUUUAUAAGUCCUUAUCUUACCCGUUCGGCUAACGACCCUCCACCAGUCAAGCAAGCGGUGGGUGAGAGUGGACACCCAUUAAGUUGCCAUUUUAUAGGCAACAACCUUAUACCCACCUUAUAGACCGGCUUCGUGAAUGAGGCGUACUAGCGGUAAGACUGACUUUACUCUUAUACAUAUAUAUAUUAUUAACUUAUAAUAUUAUAAAGUAUAAGGGUUGAAUUUUAACUUUUAAAAUUCUAAGGGCUAACUUGGAAUUAAAGUAUUCAUAANNNNNNNNNNNNNNNNNNNNNNNNNNNNNNNNNNNNNNNNNNNNNNNNNNNNNNNNNNNNNNNNNNNNNNNNNNNNNNNNNNNNNNNNNNNNNNNNNNNNNNNNNNNNNNNNNNNNNNNNNNNNNNNNNNNNNNNNNNNNNNNNNNNNNNNNNNNNNNNAUCAUCUAAAUUCAUAAGAUCAAGAACAUGAAUAUCCAUAUCAAAGUUUCAAGACCAUAUGAACACAUAUAAUCAUGAAAAAUUGAUAUUUGCCAUUGUAAAUGGAUUAGAACAAACAUUACACCAUCUAAAACAAGUUUAAUAACACCAAAACAGUUUAGGGUAAUGUUUCUAGUCCAUUUCCAGCAGCAAAGGUCGAAAAUCUGCACUCUGUCACUCCUACUUGCCGAGUGCAUGAACCUACUCGGCAAGUAGGUUGAAGAUACAAGUGAACUCGGCGAGUCCCCCCACGAACUCGGCGAGUUCAUCAGGCAGACAACAAGUUUUUCGACUUUUUUCAACUUUUUAGCACAAAUAACAAACAAACAAGCCUAGGGUUUGAUACCACUGAUCGGUNACUUCCUAAGUGUACAUGCAACCCUAAUAACCUUGGAUCUAUGUUUGUCUAAUUAUCAUGCAAAGUUGAUUUCCAAGGCUAUGAUCCUAUCUAGCAUACAUGGGGAACAAUUUUAACAUAAAUAAUAGAUAGAAUUACAUACCUUCUUGUUGUAAGUGUUCCUUGAAACCUUGUGAGCCUAGCACCCCAAGUGUGAUGCCUCAAAUGCUUCACACAACACCAAAUGCUAUGGAGUACACAUGGAGAGAAUGUAUAACACACUAAAAUUGGCCAAGCCCUCUUGUUUCACUAGUAGUGCCGAUUUUGGGAGAACACAUGACCUUUAUAUAGUGUUGACACAUCUAGGGUUACACCAUGUAAACCCUAAUGUGUCAUGACUCGUCAUUUCCAUGACCCAUGGGUUUGUAACUCCCAUGGAGCCUCUUGUGAGCAUCCAAUGUAUUUAACCCAACUUGAUUAUCCAUGGAGCCUCUUAGCCCACUAUAUAAGUUAUGGAUGAUUUACAUAAUCAACCCAUAUAUUUAAUUAGUUAUCUUUUGAUCACUUAAUUAAUUCUAAAAUGAAUUCUUGACCAAGCUAAUUAAAUAAUAUUAUUAAUAUAUUAGAGCUUAUAACAUAUUAAUAAACCAUAUGUGUUAACUCUCUCAUUUAGUCUAUCCAGUUGCAUGGUGCCAUGCAACCCAAAUGGACCAUGCCUGGUCGGGUCAAGUACAUACCAGAAAUAGUUAUGGACUUAGACACCUUAUCCAAUAGGAAUGAGGCGCCAGACUUUAUUUCUUUUAAACUCAUUGAGUUCAUCUUGCAUUGCUUGGACCCAAUCAGAAUGAUCAAGGGCAGUAUUGACUGUCUUAGGCUCAACUUUGGAUACGAAGGAAUUAUACAUACAGAACUCUACUUUGGAGAAUAAGGAGGUCUGUUUUGCCUUCACUUGGGAUCGGGUUAGGAAUUUUUCAGAUACAUUACCCACUAUCUAAGACACAGGAUGAUCUCUGGUCCAUUUAGUGAGCGGAGGAAAGUUUGGAUCAUAGGAUGGAUCCAAUUCGGCGUUGACCAUUUCUUCCAACUCAGAUUGAUUAUCGUCAUCAUAGAGCAUAUCAGAAUUCCCCCCCUCGACAGAUGAUGAAUCAUUUGGAUUUUCAAGUUGGUUUGGACCUUCGGGUGCAAUAGAACUCUCAGGUGUAGUCGGGCUUUCGGGUGCUAUAGGACUUUCGGGUGUAGCCGGGCUUUCGGGUGCUAUAGGACUUUUGGGUGUAGCCAGGCUUUCGAGUGCUACAGAACUUUCGGGUGUAGUCGGGCUUUCGGGUGUUACAGGGAUUAAGUUCUCCCCUUGAAAAUAUGAGUCUGGUUGAUAUGAAGAAACUUGAUUCUCCCCCUCAACUGAAGUGUCGUGCUAAGGAGGUUCGUUUCGAACUUGUUCUCCUUCUCCCAUUUGUUUGGCUACAUCUUCGACGAUCUGCUUCAGACGAUCAAUUUUGUUGUCUUCCGCUUUGGCUUCUGAGAGAGUGGCUUUCUCAGGUUCAUCAAAUAGGUCUACGAAUUGAUCAAAUAAAUUAGCAAUCGUGGCUAUGACUUGACUUGUUUGAAAGAAAAUCUCUCCAAUUGCUUCUUCAGUAGUCUUUAGUUUCUUGAUGUAGCUGUCAUCGAAAGUCACAUAAUAGGUUUCUUCAAUCUUUCUAGAACGCCUAUUUAAAACUCGGUAUGCCUUUGAAGUAAGAGAAUAUCCCAGAAAAAUUCCCUCAUCAGCUUUAACAUCAAACUUGUUAUGACGUUCUUUGGAGUUGAAGAUGAAGCACCUUGAAUCGAAUAAAUGGAAGAAUUUUACAUUCGGAUUCCUGUUAUUGAUGAUCUCAUAAGGAGUGAGAGAGAAGCGCUUGUUGAAAUAAGACCUAUUCUGCAUAAAACAUGCUGCAGCAAUAGCAUCAGCCCAAAAAUAUAAGGGAAGUGACGCAAAACUUAGCAUAGUUCGGGCUGCCUCACACAAGGAUCGGUUUCGCCUUUCAACAAAACCAUUCUGUUGAGGCGUAUAAGGGGCUGAGAAGUUAUGACUGGUUCCUUUUUCUGCCAAGAAGUCUUCGAAUUCUUUGUUCUUAAAUUCCAGUCCAUUGUCGCUCCUAAUGUUUCAAACGACUUUUCUCAGUUGCACUUCAACCUUCUUGAUAAACAUCUUUAGCUUAGGAGUGGCCCAGAUUUGUGCUUCAGAAAGAACACCCAUGUAAAACGUGAGAAAUCAUCAACAAUAACAAGAAUAUAAUUGCUACCGCCAAUGCUCUCGAUUGAUGAAGGACCACACAAGUCGAUGUGAAGCAACUCAAGUGGUUUAAUAACUUUUGUGUUUAUAAUUGAUGGGUGACUUUGACGAUCUUGUUUCCCCAUUUCGCAUGCAGCGCACAAGUGUUCUCGAUCAAACUUGAGCAAUGGAAGACCCUGAACAUGACCUCCGGUGACNUAACUGUAGUGACUAUCCUUAUUCAGGCCACUCUUUGACUCGAACACCUUUUCAUGAAUCAUAUACACACAUUAUGCACUUGACCUAGUAGUAGAAAUUAGGUCGGAGUCUCAUAGAAACUUAAGUCAAAGUUGUAGACUAGGACUAGUAUACUUGAUUCCUCAAUUUCGCUUGAAUCUCGGAAUCACUACAUAGAAUGCCAAUAAACCGAUAAAAAAAUAUUACAAACAUUAUUUCUAACUUGAAUAAGAGUUAUGAAACUCUAAAAUAGUUUGAAGUCUCAAAAUUUAAUUAAUUUUGAUAUCCAAAGACUUACGAACUCUCAAAAACCAUAAAUGCCCUAAAAACUCAUAUUUAUAAACUUUAACCUUAAAAAUUUCUAUAAAAAUAUUUAUGAAACUUAUAAUAUGAUCUUCUAAUAAUAAAAAUUAUGAGAAUGCAUUUAAGAAAAACAAAAUUUAAGUCAUUAGUAUUUAACCUUAUUUCUAUGCAAAAAAAUCAACGUUUGUGUGAAUGAAAAUUAAAAUAAGGUGCAUAUUUUAUAAAAACUUGAUAUUUUUAUAAAAUAAAGUUAUAAUUUUAUAAAAUUUAAGAGAGGGAGACCCUCUCUCCACUCCAAAGUCGGACUCCCUCCUCCCAAGAUGCCUCUCCUCUUCCCAACACAAAAUGAUUCUUCUUCUCUCUCACACUCCAUCUUCCCUCAUUUUCUCUCAUUUCUCUCUCACACAAUCACACACAUUUUCUCUCUUCCUCCCACUAUGAACCACGAAAUUUUACAGCCAACAUGUCCAAGAACACUCAAGAUACUCAAAAUCUUCAUCAUCUAAUGGUGUUCAUUAAGGUAGAACACGAUUUCCUUUUAUUUUCCUUCAAGUUUUCAUGGAUUUUCUUGCAUUUCUUUGUUCUUCUACACCAUUCUAAUGAAAGAUCAUGAACACAUAUACAUAAACACACACAAAAUCAUAGUUUUGAUGAUGAUGGAUGUAGGAUUUCACCCAAAAACAACAUGCAUGUUGUUAAUGGUGAAAUCCAAGGACCAAAACCUAAGUCAAAAUCAACAUAAUGCCCUUUUAUACAAGUUUUGGGGUAAAAUUACUACAUGCAUCCAAAGUUUUCUAUCAAAAACGAUUUUUGAACAUUUCAAUCUCAUGAAUGGUCUUCAAAACAACAUGUAUGUGAUGAUCUUCAAGCUUAGAUGCUUGAUGAUCAAAGUUGUUGUUAAAAUGCUUUCAAAUAUGUUAAUGAAAGAUUUAUUUCCAAAUAAAUAUCUAAAAAUCAUUUUCUGACCAAAUCCGAUUUUUCCCAGAUUCUCGUCAACAAAAUAAGAUGCUCUGUAAAUUUCCAGAAGAUAAUUCAUUUUUCCCGAAUUAUUAUAAUUGAUGCAAUAAAAUAGGGCAAUAAAUCAUAUAAAAUACUUCAAGAGGUCUAUAAAUCGGGAAUAAAUUUGUGGGUGACCCCUAUGGUUAACAAUGACCUCUUAUUAGAUUUCAAGGAUUUAUGUUGCUGUUUAGUAUGAUUUUACAUUUUCUUUUUGUUUGGGUAUAAAAAAUCAGAAAACCAGUUUAGGGAAUGUGAAAAUUAUAUCUAACAAUUUGCUCAGCUCUUACCUGUGGUGGGACACUGAGAAGAAUAAUUUGAGAAGUUUUCAUCAUGCCUUCCUAUUUUCCCCAAUUUUUGGUAACUAUAAUGGCCUAAAAAUAGGAAAAAUAGUUCUCAUUAUCCAAAAUUCAUGCAAUUUUACCAGAAUAUCAUUUUUUACAGUAGGAGGUCACAUAACACUUUUGAUGAUUUGUCUCUACAAUAUACUAUUUUUCUCCUAUUUUCUAAGGUUAAAUACACUUAAAUACACAUAAAUACCCAAAACAGGAUUAUACAAUAUGAAAACCACUUUUGGUAUUUUUCCCAGAUUAAAUGCACUGUAAAUGAUGUUACAAAAAUUUUUGGUAAUUUAUUUUAACUGUUUAUUAUUUAUUCUUCAAUUAAUGAUUAUUUAUGGGGAUAAAACAAGGAAAAAUAGAAAUGCCCACUGAAAAAUACCUUUUAUAUUUUUCCCAGCCUAGUUAUGUAUAAUAACAGUUAAAUUAAAAGUUUGGAUAAUUUUGGAAACUGUUUUUUAUUUAUUUCAAUUUUUAUUAGAAUAAAUGCUCAAAAAUCAUAAAAUUUGGUUAAACAGUUUAUAAAUCGAUUUUUAUAUUUUUCCCAGCUCAAUAAUGCUUAGUAACAGUAAUACAAAACGUUUGGGUAAUUUUGGAAACUGUUUUCUAUUUAUUUCAAAUUUUAUUAGAAUAAAUGCAUAAAAAUCAUAAAAAUUGGUUAAACAGUUUAGAAACCCAUUUUUAGAUUUUUCAAAGAUUAAGUAUGUGUAAUGACAUUACUAUAAAUAGUUUGGGGCAUUUUCUUAUCUGAUUUCUAUUUUUCAUGAAUUUUUAUAUAUUUAGAGAAUUAAAUAUAUGAAAAAUAGUCAUACAUAUCCAUAAUCCAUGAAAAAUUAUCUAGUAGUCUUUUAACACAUUUAGAACCAAGAUCUGAAGUUUGGUAAUUUUUAUUAACUGUUUAGUAUUUUUCAUAAUUUUAUGGUUAUUCGAGAAUCUAAAAUGGUGAAAAAUAGUUAGACAAAUCAAAAAUUCAAGAACAUUUAUCUUGAGGUCUUCGACUUCAACUAAAACUAAAAUGCAAAGUUUGGGAAAUUUUAGAAUNAAAAUUGUAACCAAUUAAUAUAAAACCGAUAUUAGAACAUAAAUUUGGCAUUUCUCUAUAUGUAGAGUUUAGUAUAUUAGCAUUAGAUUUCGACAUGGAAACUCACUAGUGUGUGUUUGAUGUCGUAGGAUCCCGGUAUUAAGACGUUGGUGUAUUCCGAGGCACCACUUGUACCUACUCGAAACAUUGUGAGUAUUCACGCACUCCCCUAUUUUCAGUUUUUAUGUUUUGGGGUGGAAAAGCAUGUCCAGAAAAACUAUUAUUUGCAUGUUGUAUUUAAAUUGAUUUGUAUCAAACAUGAUUGCUAUUGUAUUGCUAUGUCUCUCUAUGUAUGUCUAUGCAACACGGAACAUGAGAACUUAUCGUACUAAGGCCCUUCCCUUAUCUCUAACCAUUAACUCUUUGAGCCAAUGGUCAUUGUGGAUAGCGCUAUUAGGAAUUGACAACUCCUCACUCGCCCUAUUACUGGAGUGCAUGAUACCAUAUUCAUCUAUGGGACGAUAAGCAUAGAUCUUGAUAGGGCUUCAGUCAUAGGUUUGGUUGAGACUCAUUGUUUGCUCAUACACAUACAAACUUGUUUCUCGUUAUAGCAAUAAACUUGUAUCCAUUAAUAGCAAUCAACUUUGUUUCUCAUUAAAGCAAUGUACUUGUAUUUACGAAAAGACUUAUUUCAAGCUCGAUUUUAUAAACUUGUGAACUCACCAACUAUUUUUAUAGUUGACGCUCGUUUUACAUGCUUUUUCAGGAAUUAUCGAGUAAGUGGCACUUAGGGACACUUCACUUUUAAGAGCAUUCACAUGUGUUGUAUUUCUAUUUUCAUUGUAAUUUCUUGUAAAAGUUGUUCAAACCCAUUGUAAAUUUGUAAUGAUUUUAACACUAUGGUUGGUAUUGUCUUUUAACUUUUUCUAUGAAACCCUUUAUAUUGCCACGCCUCGUGUUUCCGCUUUAGCGGGGUGUGACAUAGGGUAAAAUGACUAUUUUGCCACUAACCAAGUCCAAGCCAAAGUCAACUUCCAGUUGACUCGACUCGCCGAGUUGGGUCGUCAACUCAUCGAAUCCCUAACCCUUUACCCGUCCUUAUCCACGACUCUACUCGUCGAGUUUGGCAACGACUCGACAAGCUCCUCCUCUAUAUGAACAUUGAAUGAACCUUCAUCCGACUUGACGAGUUGUAUGAACAACUCGUCGAUUUCACCUUCAUCUAAUGAACAAGCCCUGUCCUUGACUCGUCGAGUUGUAUGAACAACUCGUCAAGUUCGUCUUCAUGUGUUGGCAUAUUGCCUUGGACUCGCCGAGUCUGUUCUAGCACUCGUCGAGUCCCAUGAACUAUAGGUCUAAGGGUAAGUCCAAUACGUUGGGUCACUCCUUCGGACCUUCUACUACCCUUCUAACACCCAACUGAGUUCUUUUGACCCUCAACAGAUAUGGGAAUUUAUGCCUUGGACUCGUCGAGUCCCAAGAACGGACCCGCUGAGUCGAUAACGUCAAUGCCCUAUUUCCUCAAUUUCUUAUGUAUAACCUUUGACCAAAUGAUAGAUCCAAGCCCCUAAGCUCGAUCUAGCACGUAAAGUUACAAACUUUACGUGCAUGCAUGGGACUUUUGAGCCUAAAAGGCUCUAAAAUGGCUCUUAUGUUGCAUGGGACCUUCCUUGAGCGCAAAAGCACCCAAAUAUACCUUGUGACUCCUCCCAAGACUUAGAUCCGAGGUCUUGACCCCCAACAAUGUUUGCAAUCAUGGUUGGCCACCUCAUAUGGCUUAAAAAGCCCUAAAUCUUCCCCAAAAAGGGAUCUAACAAAAGAACAAGCAAGGUAUAGACUUUAUACCUUUCAAAGACUAAAAAUGAUGCAGCAAACUCAAAUUCUUCAGUCUCCUCUUCAUCCUUCUAUGCUCUUCCUUCUUCUUUGUGAACAAAACUACCAACAUCACCAAAAAAAAACCUUAAAUCUUGCACCAAAACACUUAGGGUUUGCUAUGGAGGGUUUCUAGGAGCAAUAGGGACGAGUGUUGGCUGAAAGAGAUGAUUAAAUAGGGUGCAAACCCUCAUAUUAGGGUUUUUUUCCAGUCAGAGCCUACUCGUCGAGUCCGGGACCCGACUUGACGAGUCUAACACUUAAACCCCGCGUCCCAUCCCGCUUCUACUCGAUGUGUUGGUCCUUCAACUCGACGAGUCCCAGGCCAAAAAUGCAAAACACUUAAAUAAAUUACAUACCAAGAACCAGGUGCAACAAAAAAUGAGUUUAUUACUAAAUUUAGACUAAAAAUGCAAAGUAUUUGAUUUUGGGGUCAAAAUUGUAAAAUUUACAAAAAUUGGACCAAAAAUGUAACUUUUUGUGAAUAAAAGUUGGAAAUGACAAAUGCAUUAGUUUUGGACUGAAAUUACUAUUCAAAUAAAGUUUGGGUGGAAAAUGUCAAUAAAAAUGGUUUAAGAACCAAAAAUGUAUAUUUUCAUAAAAAGGGACUAAAACUGCCAUUUUUAUAGAAAAAGGUGCCAUAAUGGCUAAUCUAAAUGUUUUUUGGCCAAAUAAACGAUUAUAACUUUUAGGGCUAAAAAUAUCAAGUUUAUAACGCCUAGUUUUAAAAAAUAUAUAUACACAUAAUAAAAACUUCGUUAUAAUUCAAACGUUAAAAUGUUUCGUUAUUACUAAUAAACAUUUAACGUACCACGAAUACCUACAAUACGAACUUAAACCCGAUAAAACAUAAGCGAUUCAAAAGUUGGGCUUAAAUACCUUCUAUAUGUGCUAUUGGGUCUUUGUGGCCCAAUAUCUUGGUUAUUGGGCCCGAUAUAUUCAAACAUGUUUAUUGGGCCUCCAGUGACCCAAUUACAUGCCUAAGGGACCCUUAGUGGCUUUUACAUGCCCGUUGGCAUUGCUAGUAAGGUUCAAAUCAAACAUAUACAUGAUGGGCCAACGUACCCGUCUCAUACUCGAAAGCCUAUAAUAACAUAAAGGAUUAGUGGGCCUCUAUUGCCCUCUUCUCUUCGUCUGUUAGGCUUAUCUCGGUUAUUCAAGUAAACAUAAAAUUAGGUCGACGAACAAGGUUAUUCAAAUUCAUUUGGAUUUAGUGGGAAAUAACGGGUGAUAGUAUUAAGUGUCGGUCGUAGUCUGUAGUUAUAACCAGAGUCUCCUGGAAGGCGAGCGAGAGUUUGUGUAUAGAUCUAUACGGGGAUGACUCCCCCACACCUGAGCAGUUCACUACAGCUAGAUUCGGCCAGUCUCGGGUCACAAAAUCUUAAAUCAAUUCCGGCGUUCGCUAUAAUGCCAAGACAGAUGAACUAGUCAUUAUUAUGCAUGGUUAUAAUGACUCACAUCGAGAUCUAACACCACCUAUGUAAUCAAGGGAAAACAUACUCAUUCGUGGUGUCGAUAUAAUACCAUAAAACUAUCAUACUAUUUAUAUCGGAAAACAUCGGGUUUUCCGGGGGAACAACAUUAUUCAUUCCUAUACACACCAACUAUAAUACGAUAAUCAAUUUUGAAUAACAAUCACUUCUACUUGUUUUUGAAAUCAUAUACACAUGCACUUAUGGGAUCAUCGCAUUUUUUCACAACAAUCUUUGUAAAGAAAAUAUCGGAUUUUCUGGGUUUUACAUCAAUACAAUCAAGUUUUAUAUAAAACAUACUUAUGACCACACCAACAUUAAAUAUGUUGACGUUUUCAAAAUAACUUGUAUUCUCUGGUAAUAGAUAAGCCGAAGAAAAAUACCAAGUAUGUUAGGAUGUUAUGUUUUGAAAAAUUCUCGAACAAUUUAUGUUACGGAUGUGUAAUGUUUAAACAAUGUACUUGAUGUGAAGAAUGUCACUUGUACUAUGUAACUUUGGUGAUGUAUAUGUUGUUCAUGUAUAUUCAUUGUGAUGAUAUUUCAAUUUAAGUCACGUGAGCCCUCGGACGUUUCCGCCAUCUGGUUUGGGGGGUGUGAAUACAAGUAUUUUGUGAUGAUCUAUGUGUGUUUGCAUGCUAUAAGUGAGUUCUUUAGUUUUUGGUUGUGAUAAUAUGAAAUAUUUGUUGUAUUUCGAUAUCUAUAAUAAAAGGGUGAAAUAAUCAUGAACAAGAACAUAAUGAACAACAUACCUCAUGGGUCUAGGGGUCUUUAAGUUUAAAAAGUGAAAAACAAAACCAAUAGAACCUUAAAAGGGUGAUUUUUGCGAAAAUAACAAAGAUUGGGUAUAAAUUGUAAUUUUCGGUUUAAUGAGGGUUAUGAGUUGAAUAUUUGCGUAAAAGCUGAUUUUUAUGAAAAUGAAACUUUACAAAGGGUUAAAAUCAUACAUUUUAGCUUAAUAGGCAUAAAAGUGGGCCUAAUUGGUUUUGGGCCCAAAGUUGCGAAAAAAUUUAGAAUUUGAGGGGCUGAAUUGGAAAACUUAACAAACUAUGGGUCUAAAAUGUAAAUAAACUUUUUCAGGGGUUAAAAAUGCGUUUAUUACAAAAUUUGGACUAAAAAUGCAAAGUUUUUGAUUUUGGGGUCAAAAUUUUAAAACUUACGGAAAUUGGGCCAAAAAUGUAACUUUUUCAAAUAAAGGCUGGAAAUGACAAUUGCAUUAGUUUUGGACUGAAAUUACUAUUCAAAUAAAGUUUGGGUGGUAACCGUCAAUAAAAAUGGUUUAAUGACCAAAAAUGUAAAUUUUCGUAAAAAGGGACUUAAACUGUCAUUUUUAUAGAAAAAGGUGUCAUAAUGACUAAUCUAAUUGAUUUUGGGCCAAAUAAAUGAUUUCUACUUUUGGGGUUAAAAAUAUCAAGUUUAUAACACAUAGUUUUAAAAAUAUAUAUACAUAUAAUAAAAACUUCGUUAUAAUUCAAACGUUAAAAUGUUUCGUUAUUGCUAAUAAAUAUUUAACAUACCACGAAUACUAACAAUAUGAACUUAAACUCGAUAAAACAUAAGCGAUUCAAAAGUUGGGCUCAACUACCUUCUAUAUGUGCUAUUAGGCCUUUGUGGCCCAAUAUCAUGUUGAUUGGGCCUGAUAUAUUCACACAUGUUUAUUGGGCCUCCUGUGACCCAAUUACAUGCCUAAGGGACCAUCGAUGGUUUUUACAUGCUAUUGGGCCUUAGUGACCCAUCGACAUUGCUAGUAAGGUCCAAAUCAAACAUAUGCAUGAUGGGCCAACUUGCUCGUCUCAUACUCGACAGCCUAUAAUAACAUACAUGAUUAGUAGGCCUCUGUUGCCCUUUUCUCUUCGUCUGUUAGGCUUAUCUAUGUUAUUCAAGUGAACAUAAAAUUAGGUUGAUAAACAAGGUUAUUCAAAUUCAGUGGGAUUUAGUGGGAAAUAACGGGUGACACUAUUAAGUGUCGGUCGUAGUCUGUAGUUAUAACCAGAGUCUCCUGGAGGGAGAGCGAGAGUUUGUGUUUAGAUCUAUACAUAGGUGACUCCCCCACACCUGAGUUGUUCGCCACAGCUAGACUCGGCCAGUCUAGGGUGACAAUCUUAAAUCAAUUCUGGCAUUCGCUAGAAUGCAAAGACAGACGAACUAGUCAUUAUUAUGCAUGGUUAUAACGACUCACAUCGAGAUCCAACACCACCUAUGAAAUCAAGGGAAAACAUAUUCAUUCGUGGUGUCGGUACAAUAACAUAAAAUGAUCAUACGAUUUAUAUCGGAAAACAUCAGGUUUUCCGGGGGAACAACAUUAUUCAUUCCUAUACACAAUAACUAUAAUACGAUAAUCAAUUUUGAAUAAAAUCAUUUCUACUUUUUUUUUUAAAUCACAUACACAUGCACUUAUGGGAUCAUCGCAUCUUUUCGAAACAGUCUUUGUAUAGAAAAUAUCAGAUUUUCUAGGUUUUGCAACGAUACAGAUAAGUUUUAUAUCAAACGUACUUAUGAACUCACCAACAUUAUAUAUGUCGACGUUUUCAAAAUAACUUGUAUUCUCAGGUAACAAUUAAGCUGAAGAACAAUACCAAGUAUGUUAGGAUGUUAUGUUUUGAUAAAUUCUCAAACAAUUUAUGUUACAGAUGUGUAAUGUUUAAACAAGGUACUUGAUGGGAACAAUGUCAGUUUUACUAUGUAACGUUGGUGAUGUAUGUGUUGUUCAUGUAUAUUCAUUGUAAUGAUAUUUCAAUUUAAGUCACGCGAGUCCUCGGACGUUUCCGCCGUCUGGUUCGGGGGUGUGAAUACAAGUAUUAUGUGAUGAUAUAUGUGUGUUUGCAUGCUAUAUGUGAAUUCUUUAGUUUUUGGUUUUGAUAAUAUGAAAUAUUUGUUAUAUUUUGAGAUCUAUAAUAAAAGGGUGAAAUAAUCAUGAACAAGAACAUAAUGAACAACAUACCUCAUGGGUCUAAGGGUCUUUGAGUUUAAAAAGUGAAAAACAAAACCAAAAGAACCUUACAUGUGUCAUUUUUGCGAAAAUAACAAAGAUUGGGUAUAAAUUGUAAUUUUCGGUUUAAUGAGGGUUAUGAGUUGAAUAUUUGCAUAAAAGCUGAUUUUUAUGAAAAUAACACUUUUCAAAGGGUUAAAAAACAUAAAUUUUAGUUUAAUAGGCUUAAAAGUGGGCCUAACGAGUUUUGGGUCCAAAGUUGCGAAAAAAAUGUGAAUUUGAGGGGCUGAAUUGGAAAACUUAACAAACUAUGGGUCUAAAAUGUAAAUAAACUUUUUCAGGGGUUAAAUAUGAGUUUAUUUCAAAAUUAGGACUAAAAAUGCAAAGUUUUUGAUUUUGGGGUCAAAAUUGUAAAACUUACGGAAAUUGGGCCAAAAAUGUAACUUUUUUCAAAUAAAGGCUGGAAAUGACAAUUGCAAUAGUUUUGGACUGAAAUUACUAUUAAAAUAAAGUUUGGGUGGUAAAUGUCAAUAAAAAUGGUUUAAGGACCAAAAAUGUAAAUUAUCGUAAAACGGAACUUAAACUGUCAUUUUUAUAGAAAAAGAUGCCAUAAUGACUAAUCUAAAUGAUUUUGGGCCAUAUAAACGAUUUAUACUUUUGGGGUUAAGAAUAUCAAGUUUAUAACACAUAGUUUUAAAAAUAUAUAUACAUAUAAUAAAAACUUUGUUAUAAUUCAAACGUUAAAAUGUUUCGUUAUUGCUAAUAAACAUUUAACAUACCACGAAUACCAACAAUACGAACUUAAACUCGAUAAAAAAUAAGCUAUUUAAAAGGUGGGGGCUCAACUACCUUCUAUAUGUGCUAUUGGGCCUUUGUGGCCCAAUAUCAUGUUGAUUCGGCCCGAUAUAUUCAUACAUGUUUAUUAGGUCUCCUAUGACCCAAUUACAUGCCUAAGGGACCCUCAAUGGCUUUUACAUGCUAUUGGGCUUUAGUGGCUCCUUGGAAUUGCUAGUAAGGUCCAAAUCAAACAUAUGCAUGAUGGGCCAACGUGCCCGUCUCAUACUCGACAGCCUAAAAUAACAUACAUGAUUAGUGGGCCUCUGUUGCCCUUUUCUCUUCGUCUGUUAGGCUUAUCUCUGUUAUUCACGUAAACAUAAAAUUAGGUUGAUAAACAAGGUUAUUCAAAUUCAGUUGGAUUUAGUGGGAAAUAACGGGUGACACUAUUAAGUGUCGUUGCUAGUGUGUAGUUAUAACCAGAGUCUCCUGGAGGGAGAGCGAGAGUUUGUGUAUAGAUCUAUACAGAGGUGACUCCCGCACACCUGAGCUGUUCACCAUAGCUAGACUCGGCCAGUGUAGGGUGACAAUCUUAAAUCAAUUCUGGCAUGCCGAUAGAAUUCCAAGACAGACGAACUAGUCAUUAUUAUGCAUGGUUAUAACGACUCACAUCAAGAUCCAACACCACCUAUGUAAUCAAGGGAAAACAUAUUCAUUCAUGGUGUCGGUACAAUAACAUAAAAUUAUCAUACGAUUUAUAUCGGAAAACAUCGGUUUUUCCGGGGAAAGAACAUUAUUCAUUCCUAUACACAACGACCAUAAUAUAAAAAUCAAUUUUGAAUAACAAUCAUUUCUACUUUUUUUUGAAAUCACAUACACAUGCACUUAUGGGAUCAUCGCAUCUUUUCGCAAAAGUCUUUGUCCAGAAAAUAUCGGAUUUUCUAGGUUUUACAACGAUACAAACAAAUAUUAUAUCAAACAUGCUUAUGAACUCACCAACAUUAUAGAUGUUGACGUUUUCAAAAUAACUUGUAUUCUCAGGUAACAGAUAGGCAGAAGAACAAUACCAAGUAUGUUAGGAUGUUAUGUUUUGAUAAAUUCUCAAACAAUUUAUGUUAUGGAUGUGUAAUGUUUAAACAAUGUACUUGAUGUGAACAAUGUCAGUUGUACUAUGUAACGUUGAUGAUGUAUGUGUUGUUCAUGUAUAUUCAUUGUGAUGAUAUUUCAAUUUAAGUCACGUGAGCCCUCAGACGUUUCCGCUGUCUGGUUCGGGGGUGUGACAUGUUGGUAUCAAAGCUCUGUUUAUAGUGAACUCGCAUAUCUACCCACACAUUGAUAUGCAACUAUAAACCCAAAGAGGAACAAAAUGACUUUGAACAAAACAAAUAAAAUAAAAUGAUAAACCCUCUUACUUGUGCGACUUAGGAAAAUGAAGAUAAUACCAAAUCAAAUAAGAUGAUCCCGACAUCUUGGUUAAAUCAGGACUGUUCAUAGUUGUAUUAAGGGGGAGAAUGUAGCCUGGUCAACUACAUUUCCUCCAGAAUACAACUAGCACAUGCCCUGGAGUGACUGCAAUGCUCGGUAAACCUAAAACAUACCCUUUUGAUUUCCACGAAGAGAGCAUCAACUCAACUUAAAUAACAACUAGAACAUGUUAGUAAUAAUAGUAGUUUAUACACACCAAAACACACACUUCUCACACCUACACCUCCCACAUAGGCAAUAUGGCAGGAAUACAACAAGACGACCCUUACUAUCAAGCUCUAGUAGUUAUGGGGAGAUUGAGGUUGGUCUAGAUGACAAUCGUGAAGAAAACCCUGAAGGAGGCCUUGCAAUGGGUCAGGAGGUGGGACCCACAGUGGGACCGGAAGAGUACGUGGUAAUUGAUUACAAAUAUGACGAUUAUGACCGGGACUUAGAUGAAGGAGAGGACGUUAAGGAGACACCUAGUAAACCCCACCCAUCGGAACCCCUAUCAAGCCCACACACGAUUCAAGAAAGUGAUACAGACUACAUACACUCUCUUGAGAAAGAAAUAGCCAAUCUCAAGCGUCAAAAAUUUGCGGCCGAAGCUAGAGUUGUUCGAGCCGAGCAAAGGGAAGAAGUAAUCACCCAGGAGUUGAACAAACUUGCUGAACUCCUUAUACGCCAACUUGACGAUUGAGUGUCAUCGUCAUCAUAACUGAUAGGAUGUACUCUACUACUUGCUAUUAUAGGUCCUACAGUAUGCAGAACCAGCCGUACCUCCUACCAGUAUUGUGUUUCUAUGUAUAUUAUGUUGUAAUAUUGUCGUAUCGUACAUUUUCCUAUGAAAUGUUUGUCCUGCAGGCAAAUUUUCCUGUAUUAAAAAUGGCUAUUUCUAGCAGAAAUGCGAUAUGUUUUAAUAUGAGGUUUCGCUUAUGUGCACAAACAAACCAUCGAAACUGUUAGAUACUCAAGAACCUUGAAACCAAAAUAACCUAUGAACUCUAUGAAUAAGAUUUAAUAUUUGUGACAAGUUUAAAAGUUUCCUACUAUCAUAAACACACCAUAGGGAUAUAGGUCGAAACAUUGUGAACCAUACGAAAAAACGCAAAAAUUAUAGAGCACCACCGGAAAUGGCCGACGUUACUUACGGACUUGCUUAUCAUCAUGCAGCAGAAGAUAUCAUUCCACAGAAAUAACGAGCACACCUGUGAAGCACCACUCUUGCAAAUGGACAACUCAACGCAAACAACACCAAUAGAGGAGGAAAUAGUGUCGACAACACUAGUCGAAGUAACGACCACGGAUACCAACGAGUGAUCGCAUAUCAAGGCACUCCAAACCCCAAGCUUAAGAAUAGUUAUCGAGAGUCAGAGAAUAAGAGAAAAGGAUAGCCGACUCAAGGAUCCUUGAAGAAACAACAUGUUAUUGCUGUCAAUGUUGCCAUGACAACUACUACACCAACACUAGGGAGAACAUAUGCUGGAAGUCUUCCAAAAUGCAACAAAUGCAGUUUCCAUCAUCAUGGAAUAUGCAGAGAGAUGGAUUGUACUAGUUGCAACAAAAAGGGCCACACAACAAGAUAUUGUAGGACUCGUCGCCAACAAUACCAGCGGCUGACCAACAACAACAACAACCACAACGAAAAUGAUGUUGGGGUUAGUUACACUUGUUACAGAUGUGGAGAAAUCGGUCAUUUCAGACGCAUAUGCCCUAAUGCUAACAACCAAGGGAAUGGAGGAUCAGGAAGAGUGUUGACCAUGAGUUAAGGAGAAGCGGUUAAGGAUCCUACUAUUGUCACUGGUACAUUUCUCCUAAGCCACACAUAUGCAUGCAUCCUGUUUGAUACCGGGGAAAGCGGAGUUUUGUGAGUAAUAAAUUCAAACACUUGUUAAAACAACAACCCCAGAAGCUUAAUGAAACCUUUACGGUGGAAAUGGCUAAUGGGAAAACAGAAUCAACUUGGGUAAUCUACGUAGGACGUACCCUAACCUUAAAUCACCACGUCUUUCAAAUAAACUUGAUACCUGUAACUAUUAGGAGUUUUGAUAUGAUUAUCGGCAUGGACUGGUUGAGCCCCCAUUAUGCCGAAAUUAUGUGUCGCGAGAAGGCCGUUCGCCUUCAUCUCCCUAAUCACGAUAACCUAAUUAUAUAUAGAGACAAGCCCAGUAUGAACCUUCAUUUAUAUGGUGUAUUAAGGCACAUAAGUGUCUACAAAAGAAGGACUUGGCAUUUCUAGCUCACAUUGUGGAUAAGUCCAAGGAAGAGGUCAAUAUUCGAGACAUUCCAGUGGCUUGCGAUUUCUCGGAUGUUUUUCCUGAAGAUCUCCUGGGAAUACCCUCAGAAAGACAAGUCGAGUUCUGAAUUGAACUUGUGUCGGGAGCUACACCCAUUGGGCUCCUGCGGAGAUGCAAGAACUGUCAAGCCAACUUAGCAAACUCUUGGGCAAAGAAUUCAUCCGACCUAGCUUCUCACCCCGGGGAGCUGUGGGUCUCGUCGUUAAGAAAAAGGACGGAUCCUUUAGGAUAUUUAUUGAUUACAGAGAGUUGAAUAAACUCACUAUCAAAAAUCGCUAUCCACUUCCACGAAUCGACAAUCUUUUCGACCAGCUUCAAGGAGCAAGUUACUUCUCUAAGAUGGAUUUGCGAUCUGGAUACCACCAACUCAAGGUCUGGGAAGAAGAUAUACCCAAGAAUGCUUUCCGAACUCGGUAUGGACAUUAUGAAUCUUUUGUAAUUCCCUUUUGUCUACCGAAUGCCCCUGUCGCAUUCAUGGACUUGAUGAAUCGGAUCUGCCGACCAUUCCUCGACAAUUUUGUCAUUGUUUUCAUCGACAAUAUCCUAGUCUAUUCUCAAAGCAAAGAGGAGCAUAGUUGACAUCUCCAGCAAAUCUUAGAAACCCUACAAACCGAAAAGUUAUACACAAAACUCUCUAAGUGUGAGUUCUGGCUCUGUAGUGUAAACUUUUUAGGUCAUGUGGUCAGUCAAGAACGGAUACACGUGGACCCUUCUAAGAUCAAAGCUAUUGAAGGAUGGACAGUCCCGACGACACCCGUUGAAAUUCGUCAAUUUUUAGGUCUCGCAGGCUAUUACAACAGUUUCAUUCAGAACUUCUCCAAAACAGCCAAGCCACUUACCAUGCUUACACAAAAGGGCGUUCCAUUUGAAUUGACAGAAAAGCAGGAGGUUGCCUUCCGAACUUUAAAGCGAGCUCCCUGUAGUGCACCAUUACUAUGAUUACCAGAAGGAGCAGAGGACUUCAGAGAUUUACUGCAAUGCUUCGAAUUGGGUUUAGGCUAUGUACUCAUGCAGCGUAGGAAAGUGCUAGCUUAUGCUUCCCGACAACUAAAGACACAUGAGGUGAAUUAUACCACUCAUGAUCUCAAAUUAGGAGCUGUGGUUUUUGCCUUGAAGAUUUGGAGGCACCACCUUUAUGGUACAAAGUGCACCAUUUUCACCGACCACAAAAGUCUCUAACACAUUUUAAACCAAAAGGAGUUAAACAUGAGGCAGCGAAGAUGGGUUAAGUUGCUAAAUAAUUAUGAGUGUGAAAUGAAGUAUCACCCAUGCAAGGCUAACGUGGUAGCGGAUGCCUUGAGUCGGAAAGAAUACUCAAAUCAUUGUGUGAAGAAUCUUUCAAUAACCAUUCAAUCCCAUCUAUCCUCACAAAUCAAAGCAGCCUUGUUCGAUGCCAUGAAGACAGAGAACAAAAUAAGCGAAGCAUUACGUGGAAUGGAAAAGAAAUUUGAAGUCAAGGAGGACAGAGCACAUUAUUUCAUGAACUGAAUUUGGAUCCCUAAACUUGGGGGGAUUCAGAGAGGUAGUCAUGAAUAAAGCCCAUAAGACACGAUACUCCAUCCAUCUGAGUUCAUAUAAAAUGUACUUGGAUAUCAAGCAACAUUAUUGGUGGCCUAACAUGAAGGCAGAAAUUGCCACCUAUGUUAGCAAUUUCCUUACUUGCGCUAAAGUGAAGGUAGAAUAUCAGAAGCCCUCGGGACUAUUACAACAACCGGUAAUACCCGAGUGGAAAUGGGAAAGGAUUACUAUGGACUUUGUGACCAAAUUACCUAAGGCUACAGAGGGAUUGGAUACCAUAUGGGUAAUAGUCGACAGGUUGACAAAAUCCGCUCAUUUCCUACCAAUAAAGGAAUCAUACAAGAUGGAAAGAUUGACAAGAACCUACAUCAAGGAAAUCGUGAGACUCCAUGGAGUACCAUUAUCUAUCAUCUCAGACCGAGAUAGUAGAUUUACUUCGCGCUUAUGGCAAUCGCUUUAGAAAGCUAUAGGAACACAACUUGAGAUGAACAUUGCCGACCACCCACAAAUGAAUCGUCAAAGUGAGCAAACCAUUCAAAGGCUUGAAGAUAUGCUUCAAGCAUUUGUGAUAGACUUUGGAAGGUCGUGGGAUACCCACUUGCCUUUAAUUGAGGUUUCGUACAAAACAUUUAUCACUCAAGCAUCAAAGUUGCUCCUUUUGAAGCAUUAUAUGGGAGUAAAUGUAGAUCACCGUUGUGUUGGGCUGAGGUAGGUGACACUCAGCUAGCGAGAGGUCAGACACCAAACAAUGCAUUGACAGGACCAAAAAUCAUACGCAAAACGACAGAGAAGAUAAUUCAAAUCAGAGCUCGACUACAAGCAUCACGAGACCGACAGAAGAGCUACGCUGGUAGACGACGAAAGCCCUUGGAAUUUCAAGUCGGGAAACGGGGAAAACUAAACCCACGAUACAUUGGACCAUUCGAGAUUCUUGCCCGAAUCGGUCUAGUGGCUUAUAGACUACAACUACCUACCGAGCUCAGCAGUGUACACCCCGUGUUCCAUGUUUCCAAUUUGAAGAAGUUCUUAUCCAAAGAAAUUCUCAUCAUCCAUUGGAAGAAAUCGAAAUCAACGAGAAUCUCCUAUUCAUCAAGGAACCAGUUGAAAUAAUGGACAGGGAAGUGAAGCGUACUAAGCAAAGUUGCAUUCCGAUUGUGAAAGUUCGGUGGAAAGCGAAAUGUGGACCGAAAUUCACAUGGGAACGUGAAGACCAAAUGAAGCAAAAGUACCCUCACCUAUUCUCGCAUUCUCAAAUCUAGCAUCAAAAAAAGAAUUUCGGGACGAAAUUCCCUCUAACGGGGGGAUGAUGUCACAACUAGGAAUUCUAAUGCUUUGUAAACAUUUAACAAUGAUAACAUUGUAACUAAAAAGUGAAAGCAUGUAUGGCGCUUAUUCAAUGACAACAAAAUUCCAUCAAACACUCUAUACAAACACUCAAAUAGUCAACAAAAGGUUGGAAACCCUAAGAAUCCCGAUUUAAGUCCAUUAUGGACUAGGAUUUCCUUAUUGGGCCUAGUAGACAAAUAAGGUUCCAAUUUGACUAUUUUGGGCUUAGAACUCUUGAAUGGGAUCUCAUUGGACCCACUCUCAUGAGACUUAACCUUUUUGUGCCUUAUAAGUCUAAAAUGGACUAGUUUGCCUUUAAUGAGCCUUAUUAGGCCAUAACAAAUCCAAUUAGCCUUAAUGGACUCAAUUCCAUUCUUUUAUGCAGGAUUUGGGCUGUGAACUACUCAGAAGAGCUUAAUGAGCCGAAAACCAUCAAAUUGGCCCUCAUAUUAUGGACUCAAGAACAAAAGGCCCAAGCCAUUCUCUUCCUUUUCUCUCUCUCUCUCUCUCUCUCUCUCUCUCUCCCUCUCUCUCUCGGGCCAAGUAGGAAAAAAGGGGGGAAGGAUGUAAAAAUUGGGAGGGUUGACUUUGGGGGUGUGCAACCUCCUUAUUGCACACCAUGUACCCAUCCAUUGACCAACAUGCAUCUAUAAUGGUCACGUCUCUCUCUCUCUCUCUCUCUCUCUCUCUCUCUCUCUCUUUUUCUUCUCCUUCUUCUACUCUCAUCCGAGGAUCACCAAACACACACUCACACAUAUCUUCAAACUCUCAUCCUAAACACUCUCAAGCACAUCCUCUUCUCCAUUCAAAUUUUCGAGAUUUUGGAACAUUUCAAGGAGGUUCUUCCACAAGAAUUAUCAUCCUAGGUAAGUUGAUGCUUGGAUCCACAAUCUAGUCUCUUUAUUUCAUCAAGAAUAUCUUCCAAACUAACACAAACUCAUGAUCAUCAUCCUAGAAAACUCUAAUUUUGAGAUCCACCCAAGAAGGCUUGCAAGGAUCAAAAUCUUCCAUUUCUUUCUUCAUAACCAAAAACAACAAGCAAAGGUGAGUUCAUACCCCUUUGUUUUUGAGUUUUACUUGUUUUUGGGGGAGAAUACAAGUAUUAUGUGAUGAUCUAUAUGUGUUUGGAUGCUAUAUGUGAAUUCUUUAGUUUAUGGUUGUUAUAAUAUGAAAUAUUGGUUAUAUUUCGAGAUUUAUAAUAAAAGGCUGAAAUAAUCAUGAACAAGAGCAUAAUGAACAACAUACCUCAUGGAUCUAAGGGUCUUUAAGUAUCAAAAGUGAAAAACAAAACCAAAAGAACCUUACAAGUGUCAUUUUUUCAAAACUAACAAAGAUUGGGUAUAAAUUGUAAUUUGACGGUUUUAUGAGGGUUAUGAGUUGAAUAUUUUCAUAAAAGCCGAUUUUUAUGAAAAUAAAUUUUAGCUUAAUGGGCUUAAAAGUGGGCCUAAUGGGUUUUGCGCCCAAAGUUGCGAAAAAAUGAGAAUUUGAGGGGUUGAAUUGGAAAAUUUAACAAACUACGGGUCUAAAAUGUAAGUAAAAUUUUUCAGGGGUUAAAAUGGAGUUUAUUACAAAAUUUGGACUAAAAAUGCAAAGUUUUUGAUUUUGGGGUCAAAAUUGUAAAACUUACGGAAAUUGGGCCAAAAAUGUAACUUUUUGAAAAUAAAGGUUGGAAAUGACAAUUGCUUUAGUUUUGGACUGAAAUUACUUAUCAAAUAAAGUUUGGGUGGUAAAUGUCAAUAAAAAUGGUUAGAGGACGAAAAAUGUAAGUUUUCGUAAAAAGGGACUAAAACUGUCAUUUUUAUAGAAAAAGGUGCCAUAAUGGCUAAUCUAAAUGUUUUUGGGCCAAAUAAACGAUUAAAACUUUUUGGGUUAAAAAUAUCAACUUUAUAACACAUAGUUUUAAAAAUAUGUAUACAUAUAAUAAAAACUUCAUUAUAAUUCAAAAGUUAAAAUGUUUGGUUAUUGCUAAUAAACAUUUAACAUACCACGAAUACCAACAAUACGAACUUAAACUCGAUAAAACAUAAGGGAUUCAAAAGUUGGGCACAACUACCUUCUAUAUGUGUUAUUGGGCCUUUGUGGCCCAAUAUCAUGUUGAAUGGGCCCGAUAUAUUCACACAUGUUUAUUGUGCCUCCUAAGACCCAAUUACAUGCCUAAGGGACCCUGAAUGGCUUUUACAUGCUAUUGGGCCUCAGUGGCCCGUUGGAAUUGCCUGUAAGGUCCAAAUCAAACAUAUGCAUGAUGGGCCAACGUGCCCGUCUCAUACUCGACAACCUAAAAUAACAUACAUGAUUAGUGGGCCUCUGCUGCCCUUUUCUCUUCGUCUGUUAGGCUUAUCUCUGUUAUUCAUGUAAACAUAAAAUUAGGUUGAUAAACAAGGUUAUUCAAAUUCAGUUGGAUUUAGUGGGAAAUAACGGGUGACAAUAUUAAGUGUCGGUCAUAGUCUUUAGUUAUAACUAGAGUCUCCUAGAGGGAGAGCGAGAGUUUGUGUAUAGAUCUAUAUGGGGGUGACACCCCCACACCUGAGCUGUUCGCUACAGCUAUACCCGGCCAGUCUAGGGUGAGAAAAUUUUAAAUCAAUUCUGGCAUUCGCUAGAAUGCCAAGACAGACGAACUAGUCAUUAUUAUGCAUGGUUAUAACGACUCACAUCGAGAUCCAACACCACCUAUGUAAUCAAGGGAAAAACAUAUUCAUUCGUGGUGUCGAUACAAUAACACAAAACUAUCAUACUAUUUAUAUCGAAAACAUCAGGUUUUUCAGGGGAACAACAUUAUUCAUUCCUAUACACAACAACUAUAAUAUGAUAAUAAAUUUUGAAUAACAAUUACUUCUACCUGUUUUUGAAAUCACAUACACAUGCACUUAUGGGAUCAUUUCAUAUUUUCGCAUCAGUCUUUGUACAUAAAAUAUCGGAUUUUCUGGGUUUUACAACGAUACAAACAAGUUUUAUAUCAAACAUGUUUAUGAACUCACCAACAUUAUAUAUGUUGAAGUUUUCAAAAUAACUUGUAUUCUCAGGUAACAGAUAAGCCGAAGAACAAUACCAAGUAUGUUAGGAUGUUAUAUUUUGAAAAAUUCUCAAACAAUUUAUGUUACGGAAGUGUAAUGUUUAAACUAUGUACUUGAUGUGAACAAUGUCAAAUGUACUAUGUAAUGUUGGUGAUGUAUGUGUUUUUCAUAUAUAUUCAUUGUGAUGAUAUUUCAAUUUAAGUCACACGAGCCCUCAGACGUUUCCACCAUCUGGUUCGGGGGUGUGAUAGUUAAAUCCAUGUUAGUGUGCCGGUUAACCACACAUGCUCCACUAAUGACUUAAGCAAGGUGCAAAGUGUAAUUUCAUGGGUUAGCACCAAAUUCACAUUUUCCUAAAGUAACUUAGAUUGGGAAUUUAUAAAAGGUUUAGUUACUUUAUAUUUAUCAUUAUACUUAUAAUGAGAAUUAUAGUCCUUGUCCUACCCUGUUCGACUAACAACCCUCCACCAGUCAAGAAAGCGGUGGUGAAAGUGGACACCCAUUAAGCUGCCAUUAUAUAUGCAGCAACCUUAUACCUCCCUUAUAGACCGGCUUCACGAAUGAGGCCUACUAACGGUAAGACUGACUUGAUCUUAUAUAUAUANGAGAGUGGACACCCAUUAAGUUGCCAUUUUAUAGGCAACAACCUUAUAGCCACCUUAUAGACCGGCUUCGUGAAUGAGGCAUACUAGCGGUAAGACUGACUUUACUCUUAU